rnacentral:rRNA from 1 species
GCGGCAGGCUUCAUACAUGCAAGUCGAGGGGCAGCAUAAAUUACUUGUAAUUUGAUGGCGACCGGCGAACGGGUGCGUAACGCGUAUGCAACUUACCUUUUACUAGAGAAUAGCCAAGAGAAAUUUUGAUUAAUGCUCUAUGUUCUUAUUUACUCGCAUGAGUAAAUAAGCAAAGCUCCGGCGGUAAAAGAUGGGCAUGCGUCCUAUUAGCUUGUAGGUGAGGUAAUGGCUCACCUAAGCUCCGAUAGGUAGGGGUCCUGAGAGGGAGAUCCCCCACACUGGUACUGAGACACGGACCAGACUUCUACGGAAGGCAGCAGUAAGGAAUAUUGGACAAUGGAGGCAACUCUGAUCCAGCCAUGCCGCGUGAAGGAAGACGGCCUUAUGGGUUGUAAACUUCUUUUAUACAGGAAGAAACUUUUCCACGUGUGGAAAGCUGACGGUACUGUAAGAAUAAGGAUCGGCUAACUCCGUGCCAGCAGCCGCGGUAAUACGGAGGAUCCAAGCGUUAUCCGGAAUUAUUGGGUUUAAAGGGUCCGCAGGCUGUUUGUUAAGUCAGAGGUGAAAUCCUACCGCUCAACGGUAGAACUGCCUUUGAUACUGGCAAACUUGAGUUAUUGUGAAGUAGUUAGAAUGUGUAGUGUAGCGGUGAAAUGCAUAGAUAUUACACAGAAUACCGAUUGCGAAAGCAGAUUACUAACAAUAUACUGACGCUGAGGGACGAAAGCGUGGGUAGCGAACAGGAUUAGAUACCCUGGUAGUCCACGCCGUAAACGAUGGUCACUAGCUGUUCGAUGUACAUUGGUACGUUGAGUGGCUAAGCGAAAGUGAUAAGUGACCCACCUGGGGAGUACGCUCGCAA